GGCACCGCCCACACAGCCACCGCCCAGUGCUGCCUGCCGCUGUUCUCAGGCCGCAUCUGCAGCUAAUGCCGAGGCUGUUCCUAGCAACCGACUGUCCCAGAAGCCGUGUGUAAGGGCAGGACUGGACACAGGGCAGGUUUUCUGAUCCAGCAGACCAGCUUCUGCUGCUUCUCGGCUUCUGCUGGCGUCCCCGUGACGCCGCCCUUAAAAGCCCAGUCUCAACCCAGGUGAAUCCCACCUACCUCUACCCACACCCCACUCCAGGUGCCGCCAUCAGGCCUGCGUUCAGGACCGCAGGGAUCCAUCAUCUGUCCUGAUGGCGGGAGGGCAGGAAAGCCUGACAUUUUUCCUUACCCUGCACCGUGACUUUGCACUGCCUGGAGCAGGGACAGCCGCGAGUUCCAGAGAAAACAUCUCAAGCGCUCUGGGUGUGUCGAGGGCAAGAAAAGGGUGGCCUGGCUGGGGAGGUGGGGAGGGGCGUGUGCUGUGAAGGCAGCUGCGCAGACACAUGGCCCUUGGGGGGCUGGA